CACUGUAGGAGGAAGUGAGAGUGGGGACAAAUGCCUUGAGUGGGAGAGGGCAUGAUGUGUUCAAGGAAGAGAAAGGAGAGUGGGGCCAGAGUCCAUGAGGAGGCUGGAGACGGUUGCCAGGCACUUGAAGGCCAGGUUACAGAGUUUUCGUUUUAUCCUUAAGGGCAAAAGGAGUAAUGCUGAAAGGGAGCGAAGGAUAAAGAAAAGCUCUAGGUUAGGUAUGGGGAAAGUCCUGACCACACAGAAUCAGAAUUUGUAACUGGAGCCGGAGUCACAGAGAAAAGGCAGCUGUAUCUUUGCAGACGUGCUAAUGAUACGGCUGAAGGCAAAUCAAGCCUGAGUUUCCUAAGCAGCCUAAGUACCUCCACCUGCUUCUUCACAUUCAGCCAAUAAUCACAUUUCUAAUUUUACUGAGAAAAUGGAAGCACUGGGAAGAUCGGAAGAAUCUCUUGAAUGAACUCCCUCAACUCAUAUCCAGAAAAUAAAAGAGCCGUCUGAGAAAUACUAAGAAGAAGACAUUCACAGAGUGUUCUGGAUCUUUUAUCCAAACCUGGGGACUGAGUGGGAGAGAGUGGAGCUUCGUAGAGGUGAACACAUGGGCUUUGAAGAGCACGGAGGUCUUAUCUGGGACUGCUCUGAACCUGAGGGUUGCCAGUGCUGUGUAGUCAGCGGCAGGUGGAGGAACGCCUCCCUGAGCUGGGGUUUACAGUUUAACAAGUGGCCCAGAGCACUUGUGCUCAGCUCUUAAUGUGAACUUAUCAGACAAGUAUGCUUUUAUUCUUUGGAAAAGCAAAAAUGGAGAGAUACAGAAGCAAAAAGAGAAUAAUUUAACAACCAUCUGUGUACCUGCCAUUUGUAAUUAACAGAGGAGAAAGGUUGGGCUCAGGAAGCAAGAGUUACUUUCCCAGGAUCACACAGCAUGUACAUGGCUAAACGGGAAUUGAUAGCCCGCUCAUGUUCCUCCAGGACCAGGGCCUGUAAUCAGUAAGUUCUCUUAUGUCAGCAGACAGAAGGAAUGGUAUCUUGAAGCAGCAAUGAGAAGCAAGGAGAAUAUCUACCCUACAUUUGUGCUCUGCAGUACAUGGGCUGUGAGAGAAAAGAAAGUUAUUGCUUUUGAUAGCUGCAAGGGAAGCUCAGGACAAGGAGCAAAAGAGCCCAUGAAUCAGGGGCAGCCAGGUUGGGCUUCAUGGAGGAGGUGAUACUUGAAGUGAACAUUGAAGGAUUGAAGGGGCUUGUCAGGAAGACAGCUGGGGAAGGGAACUUCGUGCAAAGAAAAGCAGAUGAAUAAACUCAAGGCUGAGAGACAGCAGACAGUAUGGAGGACCAUCGGCCGUUUAAUCUGUGUGGAGAAUUAAUUAAGACAAAAACACAAAUGUGGACUGGAAUAUAGGAGCUGUGGCUGCUCAGAAAAUGAGAUUGGAUGAAACGAGAUAGUGUGACACGACUGUUAAGAACUUGGCUCUGGAGUUGGAGAAGGC
rnacentral:lncRNA from 1 species